GAUGAACGCUGGCGGCAUGCCUAACACACGCAAGUCGAACGAAGCACAUGAGACAGCUUGCUGAGGAUUGUGACUUAGUGGCGAACGGGUGAGUAAUGCAUGAGCAACCUGCCCUUCAGUGGGGGACGACAGUUGGAAACGACUGCUAAUACCGCAUAACACUGCCGAAAGACAUCUUUUGGAAGUCAAAGAUUUAUUGCUGAAGGAUGGGCUCAUGUCUGAUUAGCUAGUUGGUAGGGUAACGGCCUACCAAGGCGACGAUUAGUAGCCGGUCUGAGAGGAUGAACGGCCACAUUGGGACUGAGAUACGGCCCAGACUCCUACGGGAGGCAGCAGUGGGGAAUAUUGGGCAAUGGGCGAAAGCCUGACCCAGCAAUGCCGCGUGAAGGAAGAAGGCCUUCGGGUUGUAAACUUCUUUUACCGAGGACGAAGAAAUGACGGUACUCGGCGAACAAGCUCCGGCUAACUACGUGCCAGCCGCCGCGGUAAAAC
rnacentral:rRNA from 1 species